UAGAAAGUAACCGGUUGGUCUGCAAG
rnacentral:piRNA from 1 species